rnacentral:rRNA from 1 species
GAUGAACGCUGGCGGCGUGCCUAAUACAUGCAAGUCGAGCGAACAGACGAGGAGCUUGCUCCUCUGACGUUAGCGGCGGACGGGUGAGUAACACGUGGAUAACCUACCUAUAAGACUGGGAUAACUUCGGGAAACCGGAGCUAAUACCGGAUAAUAUAUUGAACCGCAUGGUUCAAUAGUGAAAGACGGUUUUGCUGUCACUUAUAGAUGGAUCCGCGCCGCAUUAGCUAGUUGGUAAGGUAACGGCUUACCAAGGCAACGAUGCGUAGCCGACCUGAGAGGGUGAUAGGCCACACUGGAACUGGGACACGGUCCAGGCUCCUACGGGAGGCAGCAGUAGGGAAUCUUCCGCAAUGGGCGAGAGCCUGACGGAGCAACGCCGCGUGAGUGAUGAAGGUCUUCGGAUCGUAAAACUCUGUUAUUAGGGAAGAACAAAUGUGUAAGUAACUAUGCACGUCUUGACGGUACCUAAUCAGAAAGCCACGGCUAACUACGUG